rnacentral:rRNA from 1 species
CCUGGUUGAUUCUGCCAGUAGUCAUAUGCUUGUCUCAAAGAUUAAGCCAUGCAUGUCUAAGUAUAAGCAAUUAUACAGCGAAACUGCGAACGGCUCAUUAUAUAAGUUAUCGUUUAUUUGAUAGUACCCUACUACUUGGAUAACCGUGGUAAUUCUAGAGCUAAUACAUGCUAAAAAUCCCAACUUCGGAAGGGAUGUAUUUAUUAGAUUAAAAACCAAUGCCCUCCGGGGCUUACUGGUGAUUCAUGAUAACUCCUCGAAUCGCAUGGCCUUGCGCCGGCGAUGGUUCAUUCAAAUUUCUUCCCUAUCAACUUUCGAUGUUUGGGUAUUGGCCAAACAUGGUUGCAACGGGUAACGGAGGGUUAGGGCUCGACCCCGGAGAAGGAGCCUGAGAAACGGCUACUACAUCCAAGGAAGGCAGCAGGCGCGCAAAUUACCCAAUCCCGACACGGGGAGGUAGUGACAAUAAAUACUGAUACAGGGCUCUUUUGGGUCUUGUAAUUGGGAUGAGUACAAUUUAAAUCCCUUAACGAGGAACAAUUGGAGGGCAAGUCUGGUGCCAGCAGCCGCGGUAAUUCCAGCUCCAAUAGCGUAUAUUAAAGUUGUUGUGGUUAAAAAGCUCGUAGUUGAACCUUGGCCUGGCUGGCCGGUCCGCCUCACCGCGUGCACUGGUCCGGCCGGGCCUUUCCCUCUGUGGAACCCCAUGCCCUUCACUGGGUGUGGCGGGGAAACAGGACUUUUACUGUGAAAAAAUUAGAGUGCUCCAGGCAGGCCUAUGCUCGAAUACAUUAGCAUGGAAUAAUAGAAUAGGACGUGUGGUUCUAUUUUGUUGGUUUCUAGGACCGCCGUAAUGAUUAAUAGGGACAGUCGGGGGCAUCAGUAUUCAAUUGUCAGAGGUGAAAUUCUUGGAUUUAUUGAAGACUAACUACUGCGAAAGCAUUUGCCAAGGAUGUUUUCAUUAAUCAGGAACGAAAGUUAGGGGAUCGAAGACGAUCAGAUACCGUCGUAGUCUUAACCAUAAACUAUGCCGACUAGGGAUCGGACGGUGUUAUA